ACUUUUCGGUUGUAGCUUGGUUAGGUUAACAAACAAGGGUCAUUUCUAAGGCCAUUGAAAACGAAAUUGCCGAUGCAAAAGAGACAUUCACUGUAUACUAUUCACACAUAUCAACUUCGUUCCAUUUGUUUCUCAUUUGAAACCUUCACCACUCUUAUUUCAUAACUCAAUUUUUGUUUUUCACUAUUUUUCUUCCAAGCAAGCAUUCAUUUUCAUUUUCUCUAUUUUUU
rnacentral:lncRNA from 1 species